AGCCGGCCGCCGCCCUGGGGUGAGAGUGAGAUGGCGGCCCGCGCCCACCCGCGACUCCGCGAGGCGCGCGACCCUUAUCCCGCGCCCGGGGUCACGGCAGCGACGGGGGCGGGGCAUGGUGGCCCAGCCAUGGGAUGGGUCCGGCGCCGGCCGCACGGGAGCGGACAGCGACGGGAGCCGGUCCCAUCCCGUGCGCGGCCGCUGACCGCUGCGCCACGCCCAUGACUCGGUUGUUUCUGCCAGUUUGGAGGGAGGCGCGGGCGCUGAAUCACUUGGC
rnacentral:lncRNA from 1 species